rnacentral:lncRNA from 1 species
AAAGACGGAGGCCUUUGGAGGUUGUGGUCCCUGACACAGACUGAAGUUCCUCCACCAGGUUUACCCCAUCCUUCUGGAGCACGACGACUGUUUUGUUAAGUGUGACUCGCCAAAAGACCUUGACAUCUUCAAAGGCCCUGUGAGCAAGAAACCCACCAAUGCCUUAACAGAGGGUGUCAUCCCCAUGUCUAAUAGAGUUUAUUAUCAAAUAAUGGUACCUCUUCAUCCAAAGUAUACCAAAUGGUACCUCUUCAUCCAAAGUAUAGCACUUACUUUACCACUGAUGAUGCAGAAAAUGACCAAUUUUCCUCACUACAGAUAAGAGGAUUAAGCCUCAGGGCUUAUGUGGUUUUCUUUGAAUACACUCCAUUCAACAAUGAAUAAGUAUCCUAAUACUCUGUAUAAGGAAUGUAAAAACAAAUAAUAUUUUUCGAGAAGGAAAUAAAGGGCAUCCAAUUAGGAAAAGAGGAAGUCAAAUUGUCCCUGUUUGCAGAUGACAUGAUUGUAUAUUUAGAAAACCCCAUCAUCUCAGCCCAGAAUCUCCUUAAGCUGAUAAGCAACUUCAGCAAAGUCUCAGGAUACAAAAUCAAUGUACAGAAAUCACAAGCACCCUUAUACACCAAUAACAGACAAACAGAGAGCCAAAUCAUGAGUGAACUCCCAUUCACAAUUGCUUCAAA